rnacentral:tRNA from 1 species
GCCUUCGUAGCUCAGUGGUAGAGCACUUCCUCGGUAAGGAAGGGGUCACGAGUUCAAGUCUCGUCGAGGGCU